GAGUAAAGUUGUGGCUUACAUAAUGCUUCCACAUGCACCAUUCUACUUAUUAGACAACCCUGUGAAGUGGAUUCAAAUACUCUCAUUUUAUAGAUAAGAACAAUUUAGAUCUAGAAAUAGUAAGGAACUUAAAUCCAAUUUACACAACAAUGUUUUCUUGUUUCCCUGUUCUUGUUACUACCCUUCUGUACUUCAUCUUAAUAUAGAAUGGCCAGGAGAUAAGUGAAGCUAUAGAACUGACUGGGUGAUUCCAGAAAUUGGAGCUAUAGAGUCCCAUAGUAACUUAUGAAUUGUCCUACAGUGCAGUCCUACAGCUCCGUUAUGAUAAUCCUCCAGAUGAAGCUAUGUUCAAGACUGGACUAGAUCUUGUGCUAUAAAGCCACACUGGAACCAUCUCCAAUUCCCCACCUUGCUUCAGUUUUAUAUUCUUGCAGAUAGCCUCUUUGAAUCCAUCAGAGAUGGGGUUUCACCAUGUUCUGCAGGUUGGUCUUGAACUUCUAGGCUCAAGUGAUCCACGUACUUCGGCUUUCUGAAGUGCUGGGAUUACAGGUGUGAGCCGCAGCUCCUGGCUGUCUAUUAAACUCUCAUUCAGAAUAGAGAAUACGAUCGACUAUGCAUGACAGAUGAAGAGAGAGGCAGAGGAAGAACACCUAAUCAGUCUACAUUCUUCUAACUAAUAACCUAAGUGAAUGCUAAAUUGAAUAAUGUCAUUUGAAAUAAAAAGUUUGUGAAUUAGCCUGAUUUAAUUAUUCACAUUGUAAAUAUAUACCAAAAUAUCACGUUGUACCCCACAAGUAUAUGGAAUUAUUAUUUGUCAAUUAAAAUUAAAAUUUCAAAAGAAGAACAUGAGAAAAAAAAAUUCAGGUAGGUUUCCACAGAACAGAGUGACAAAAUAAUGAGUCAAUAUAGUGUAAACAAAAAGGUACCAGUAUAUAAAGCUGGUCCAGAAGUCAUUUAUUGAAGCACAACAG
rnacentral:lncRNA from 10 species